UAAGUGAGUGUCAAUACUUAAUCAUGAAGAAUGCUAAAGAUUUAGGAUAUGUUCAGUCACAUGGUACUGGUAAAAGUUUCCUGAUAAAAGAGUAUAGUGAAGGAUGCAAAUCCUUCUUGUACAUCAGUUAUCCGUAGGCCUGCAAACCAGGUGUAAACUGACUUGUACACUUGCUGUUAAUCAUUUGUUUUGAACUUUUAUAUUAGGACUAUGCUUGAGGUCCUAUUACAAACAAUAAUAAGAAGCAGAAGCUUUAUAAGCACCUCUCUUGACUGAUACAGACUUUGUGCACUGUAGCAAUAGAUCAAGUUGGCAAAUGAAACUGAAGAAUGAUGGAUCAUUCGAUUUUUUAUUUCCACAAAUUCUACAUUUAUUAAUUGUCAUGGUUGCCAUUAUAAUUAUCAUGUUAUGAUCGGUAACAUUAAUUUAGCAUACACUUAUACAUUUGCUGAUUGGUUAUGUUGGGUUGUGAGCUGGUUUAUGAGUUUGGCUAGCAGCCUGGGACAGCGAGACCAACUUGAAGAAUGGUUGUGACUUCAUUGAAUUUGUUACCCUGUGGCAGACUCGAAGGAGGUCGCAUAGCACAAGCUAUGUUUGGAAGAAGCACAGUCACAUUUCUUUCUUUUGCAACAUCCCUCUUGCUGGGCAUUGGUGGUCUGAGUGGAAGUGUGCUGUGUCUGGCGUGGGGAUUAUUUGCAACCUUCUUUCGAGGUGGGGAGGAACUACCUGCUAAAGAUGAGAUAACUUCUUUGGUAAAUGACAGAUAUGCUUGGGGGUUUGUUCUUGGCCUUAUCUGUCUCCUCACUCUUCCCCAAUGGAGGAGGAACCUUCUCCAACCCAUUCUUAAGUGAUCCAUUUUUCAGGGGUGAUCUUUAAGAUUUUUCUUUGUUCGUGCAUAUAAUUUUUCAAAGUGUCAAAGACGUAUAUAUAUGUAUAUAUUUUUCAUGUAAUCGAUCAACUUUGAAACUGUGAAAUUUCGGGUGAAUUUCAAUCAGAAAUGUGUAGAUAUAAUCAUUAUUGGUA